rnacentral:rRNA from 1 species
GAUGAACGCUAGCGGCAGGCUUAACACAUGCAAGUCGAGGGGUAUUGGUUUUCGGACCAAGAGACCGGCGCACGGGUGCGUAACGCGUAUGCAAUCUACCUUUUGCAGAGGGAUAGCCCAGAGAAAUUUGGAUUAAUACCUCAUAGUAUAGUACUUUGGCAUCAAGGAACUAUUAAAGUCACAACGGCAAAAGAUGAGCAUGCGUCCAUUAGCUAGUUGGUAAGGUAACGGCUUACCAAGGCUACGAUGGGUAGGGGUCCUGAGAGGGAGAUCCCCCCANACUGGUACUGAGACACGGACCAGACUCCUACGGGAGCAGCAGUGAGGAAUAUUGGACAAUGGGCGCAAGCCUGAUCCAGCCAUGCCGCGUGCAGGAUGACGGUCCUAUGGAUUGUAAACUGCUUUUGACAGGAAGAAACACUCCCUCGUGAGGGANCUUGACGGUACUGUAAGAAUAAGGAUCGGCUAACUCCGUGCCAGCAGCCG